rnacentral:lncRNA from 1 species
GUGUGUGCAGACCCCUGGCACUUGGCCCAUCUUAGAUGGAAAUACUAAAACUGGUGAAAACCAACGAGUGUGCCAUGAAGAAAGAAAACCUCCCAUGUUUGAGAAGAGAAGGUGAUGCUCAAGACUUAGCUCUGUAACUAGAGGCUGCGUGAUGAUGACAGAAAGUACCUCAGGGAACAAAAAGAGUGAGUCCUCCAUCUUCUCGGGACUUAGCAGGCAGAAGCAGUCAACCGAGAUGCUAAGAGAGCAGCCACUCACUUCCCGCCGACCUCCCAAGUGCCAUUGCUUGAGCUGUGAGAGAAAGGAGACAUUUUACAAGCCAGAAGUGAAGGGAGAAGGAACACUUUAAAAGACUAAGCCAGAAUUUAACGGCAUAGUGGUAUAAGGCUGUAAUCACAACACUUGGUUAUCAGAUCAUAGAAGACUGAGAUCAGAGAGGAACAGCAGCAGCAGCAGCAGCAGCAACAGCAACAGCAACAUCAGCAACAGCAACAGCAACAGCAACAACAGCAACAGCAACAGCAACAGCACAACAGCAACAACAGCAGCAACAGCAGCAGCAACAUCAGCAACAGCAACAGCAACAUCAGCAACAGCAACAGCAACAUCAGCAACAG